rnacentral:rRNA from 1 species
UACAGAGGGUGCGAGCGUUAAUCGGAAUUACUGGGCGUAAAGCGCGCGUAGGCGGCUUUGCAAGUCGGGUGUGAAAUCCCCAGGCUUAACCUGGGAACUGCAUUCGAGACUGCAUUGCUAGAGUAUGGGAAGAGGGAAGUGGAAUUCCACGUGUAGCAGUGAAAUGCGUAGAGAAUGUGGAGGAACACCGAUGGCGAAGGCAGCCCCCUGGGAUAAGACUGACGCUCAUGUAACGAAAGCGUGGGGA